UACGUAGGGCGCAAGCGUUGUCCGGAAUUAUUGGGCGUAAAGAGCUCGUAGGUGGUUUGUCACGUCUGCCGUGAAAACCCGAGGCUUAACCUCGGGCCUGCGGUGGAUACGGGCAGACUAGAGUGCUGUAGGGGAGACUGGAAUUCCUGGUGUAGCGGUGAAAUGCGCAGAUAUCAGGAGGAACACCGGUGGCGAAGGCGGGUCUCUGGGCCAUUGACUGACGCUGGAGGAGCGAAAGCGUGGGGAGCGAACGGG
rnacentral:rRNA from 1 species